UAGCGGCGGACGGGUGAGUAACACGUGGGUAACCUACCUUAUAGAUUGGGAUAACUCCGGGAAACCGGGGCUAAUACCGAAUAAUACUUUUUAACACAUGUUUUAAAGUUGAAAGACGGUUUCGGCUGUCACUUUAAGAUGGACCCCCGGCGCAUUAGCUAGUUGGGGAGGUAACGGCUCACCAAGGCAACGAUGCGUACCCAACCUGAGAGGGGGAUCGGCCCCCCUGGGACUGAAACCCGGCCCAAACUCCUACGGGAGGCAGCAGUAGGGAAUCUUCCCCAAUGGACGAAAGUCUGAUGGACCACCCCCCCGUGAGUGAAGAAGGAUUUCGGUUCGUAAAACUUUGUUGCAAGGGAAAAACAAGUAGCGUAGUAACUGGCCCUACCUUGACGGUACCUUGUUAAAAAGCCCCGGCUAACUACGUGCCAGCAGCCGCGGUAAUACGUAGGUGGCAAGCGUUGUCCGGAAUUAUGGGGCGUAAAGCGCGCGCAGGUGGUUCCUUAAGUCUGAUGUGAAAGCCCCCGGCUCAACCGGGGAGGGUCAUUGGAAACUGGGGAACUUGAGU
rnacentral:rRNA from 1 species